rnacentral:tRNA from 1 species
GGAGACAUGGCAGAGCGGUUGAAUGCGCGCGACUCGAAAUCGUGUAUACGGCAACCCCGUAUCAAGGGUUCAAAUCCCUUUGUCUCCGCCA